rnacentral:ncRNA from 1 species
UAGCCCACAUGCUAGUUCAGGAACAACUUCCAGCUGGCCAUAUACAACCUAUGCUCAGUCCUUGGAACACACCCAUCUUUGUAAUAAGAAAAAAUCUGGCAAGUGGAGAUUACUACAAGAUCUCAGGGCAAUUAAUCAUGUUACUGAGCCUAUGGGAGCUAUACAACCAGGGCUUCCUUCCCCUACAGCCAUCCCUUUGGAUUAUCAUUUAAUAGUAAUAAAUUUAAAAGAUUGUUUCUUUUCUAUACCUUUGCACCCAGGUGACUGUAAAAGGUUUGCCUUUAG